rnacentral:rRNA from 1 species
UGGUGGGUAGUUUGACUGGGGCGGUCUCCUCCUAAAGAGUAACGGAGGAGCACGAAGGUUGGCUAAUCCUGGUCGGACAUCAGGAGGUUAGUGCAAUGGCAUAAGCCAGCUUGACUGCGAGCGUGACGGCGCGAGCAGGUGCGAAAGCAGGUCAUAGUGAUCCGGUGGUUCUGAAUGGAAGGGCCAUCGCUCAACGGAUAAAAGGUACUCCGGGGAUAACAGGCUGAUACCGCCCAAGAGUUCAUAUCGACGGCGGUGUUUGGCACCUCGAUGUCGGCUCAUCACAUCCUGGGGCUGAAGUAGGUCCCAAGGGUAUGGCUGUUCGCCAUUUAAAGUGGUACGCGAGCUGGGUUUAGAACGUCGUGAGACAGUUCGGUCCCUAUCUGCCGUGGGCGCUGGAGAACUGAGGGGGGCUGCUCCUAGUACGAGAGGACCGGAGUGGACGCAUCACUGGUGUUCGGGUUGUCAUGCCAAUGGCACUGCCCGGUAGCUAAAUGCGGAAGAGAUAAGUGCUGAAAGCAUCUAAGCACGAAACUUGCCCCGAGAUGAGUUCUCCCUGAGACUUAAAGUCUCCUGAAGGAACGUUGAAGACGACGACGUUGAUAGGCCGGGUGUGUAAGCGCAGCGAUGCGUUGAGCUAACCGGUACUAAUGAACCGUGAGGCUUAACCUUACAACGCCGAA